rnacentral:rRNA from 1 species
UUGGAGGGCAAGUCUGGUGCCAGCAGCCACGGUAAUUCCAGCUCCAAUAGCGUAUAUUAAAGUUGUUGCAGUUAAAAAGCUCGUAGUUGAACUUCGGGGUUCACCCAUCGGUCAGGCUUAAUUGUCUGUACUGGUAAGAUGAGUCUCAACCUUCUAAGGAACUUUCAUGCCAUUUAUUUGGUGUGACUGGAAAUCAGGACUGUUACUUUGAAAAAAUUAGAGUGUUUAAAGCAGGCUAACGUCUGAAUACAUUAGCAUGGAAUAAUGAAAUAGGACGGACUGAUUCUAUUUCGUUAGUUUCUAGGAUCACCGUAAUGAUUAAUAGGGAUAGUUGGG